CCAGCCUGAUUCAUAUUAUCCGCAGGAUCUGAUCACACUGGGCCCAAUAGUACGUGGAUGCAUCGUCGUCGGGUACGUCCAUAUGCAUCCACCUCCAGCUUGUCACCGCCCACGCCGCCACCCCGCGCCGCUCGCCUGCGGACCGAACAUCGCUCGCCCGCAAAGCUAGCGUGACCCGAAUCCCCUUUGAAUCUCUCCGGCAGCGGAGCAGCUAGGGAGAAUGCGUGGAUCUCGACGGCGGCGGCGUGUUUCGCCGGAGAGACGUUAGAGAAGAAGAAGAAGAAGAAGAAGAAGAAGAAGAAGAGAGGCGAAUGGGGCCCAGCGAGUUAACAGCCAAGCAAAGGCGAUGUAAAUUUACGCAAACGAGAGAGUAGGCCAUGGGCCGGAAUUUCUGCAGGCCCAUCUCCGCGGCCGUAUAGACGCGGAGAAAGCGUCUCGUUUCGUCUCCAGGCCAAUCACCGUCCUCUGAUGCGAUGCAGGCAGCCGCCGUGAUUCCUCGCGCCUCAGAUUCCAUCUCGCCCGGUUGGUUUGCGCCACCGCGCGCUGUUCAGUGGAGGAUUCGUUCGGGGAGGGAUGUGGCGAGCGCCAGGCCGGCGGCCACCGUGCCACCGUGGGAGGAGGCGGAGGGCACGUCGCCGGCGGCGCGUGCAGUAUAGAACGGACGAAGCGGCGGAGCGUCGGGAGGCGCCGGCGACCGCUCUCGGUCAUUCUCCAUGACCAGCUAUUUACAACUUCAAUUGUGUACGCCUUGAAUGAGCUGGUAGCCUGAGCAAAGUAGCUAAUCUCUUAGUUGGGAUUGCACCCAAAGCAAAGUAGCAACCAAAUGGCUAGAAAGCAAAUCAAUCAAAGACGCAUCAGUUGAUCAGCUGAUCAGCGCUUAAUUUCCAUGGCAAGAUCUUGCCUGUUUUUCAGCCCCUGUGCUACCUGUGCACAGCAGUUGAUCAGUACAUCAAAUCAUCAUAUAUAACUUGCUUGCAAGAUCGGUCAUUGGUCAGACCCUGAAGUUGUCCCCUGAGAAGGUAUGGCUGGAGGGCCUGAUGAGGAUGGUGUUUCAAUGCAUGUUCUGUGCCUCAGCUGCAUGGCAUGGGCAGCCACCCGGUGUGGGUGGCCUUGAUGCUGACGCGGCCGGUGGCACCAGCGCUGGUUAUGUUGGAGUUUCAGGAGCUCGGGAGGAGAAGUGCAGCCUGGAUGACAUCAUGCUGAGGCGGCUCGCUGGCCGACGGAGGUGACAGCUCUUCACAACUGCCAGAUGUAUGUGGAGAAAUCAGAAGGGUGUUGUUACAUCAGAUGUAGGUACAGAUUAAUUUGUUCCUGAUAAAUUGAUUUACUGAGACUUGAUCGUUAAUUUGAUUCGAGCAACAAUUACUGCAACAAGGGCAAGAGAUAACCAUUUAUUUGGCUAAGAACUUAUGUUGGUCACCACCAAGACACUAAUAAUACACGGUUUCACUUUGCUAUGUUUUAUUUGUCCAAGAGAAGGGCUGGAAACAACAACGGAAGAAGCUACCCAUGAAACGGUGGCUGGCAUGCAAGCGGAAGCGCCGAUCCCAUUUAUUUGCAAGCUGAAACACUAGGGUUUAAUUAGCUAGAUACUGCAGGCAUGCUACUGCUCCUUGUAUUACUGAGAGCGAGAACUGCAUCAUGGACCUGGAACCAAGCACGCAAAAGCAGCAGCUGUCGUCGACAUAGUGCAGUUCCUCUUCCUGGUGCUCUUCCUAUAUGGGAAGUGGAAACAGCAAGAGAACACUAAAAUAAUUGAUGCUGAAAUUUAUGUGUACUACUGUUCGUGUUUGAGGGACUGACAGUGGGUAAACAAUAGAUCUUUCUGUACUAGCUAGUCUUUUUUUUUGUCAGUUUCUGUACUAGCUUUCGUGGCAUAAACCCUAAUCUCUCGGCUGAGGGUAUUCAAGAGCUGUUGUUCCUGUGGGAUUGGGUGGCUGAGUUUAAUUUGUGUGAGGGGAAUGAUGAGCUGCAUUGGAAAUGGACGGAUUCUAGGAAGUUCACCGUCAGAUCAGCGUAUCUGGCUAUGUUUGAAGGAAGAACUGAGUUCGAGGGGCACGAUCUGAUCUGGACCUCUAAGGCUCCUACAAAGUGCAAAAAAUUUCUGUGGCUGGCUUGUCGAAAAAGAUGUUGGACUGCUGAUCGCCUGCAGCGACGAGGUAUGGAUCACCUGAGAGCUUGAGCAUUGUGUGAUCAAGUGUUUGAAACUAUUGAUCAUUUGCUUCUCGGCUGCGUUGUGGUUCGACAAGUUUGGACUUUCUUUCUUCGCAAGUGGGAUCAACAGCAUUCCUUGCCAAACCAGAAUUCUGAACUCGCAGGGUGGUGGUCUUCCAUCCAGCUGCCGAGAAAGAGGAAGAAAAUCUUGGCUACGAAAUGCACGCUGGUUUGCUGGAUGAUUUGGAAACAUCGAAAUGGCGUAGUGUUUGAGGGUGCAAAUGCGAGUGCUAGAGACAUCAUUAACGAUGUUGAGAAAGAGUUAAUUGCUUGGUAUAGAGCGAACCUGUUAGAAGAGAGGGAAAACGGUCAAGCUAAGUUGUUGCUGUGGCGAGAUACCGGCUAACGUAACAUAACUAUUUGUAUUGCUGCAUCGCAGCUUCUUUCUUCUAUAAAUGCAUGAUACACCUGCUAGCUGUAUUCUAUCUGUGCUUCUGUCUCUAAUGGAUGAUGUCUGCCUGUAAUCUUGAUAAGGAAAACAUGAAGGACAGCAGGGGAGAUUAUUUUUAUCA